AGUGACAGAGUUAGGGAGGGAAGGGGUGACUAGUGACAGAGUGAGGAAGGGGGUGACUAGUGACAGAGGGAGGGGUGACUAGGGACAGAGUGAGGGAGGUGGUGACUAGUGACAGUCAUCACCUCCCUCACUCUGUCACUGUGUCACCCCCUCCCUCUGUCACUAGUCACCCACUCCCUCCCUCACUAUGUCACCAGUCAUCCCCUCACUCUGUCACCAGUCACCCCUUCCUUCCCUCACUCUGCCACUAGUCACCCCUUCCCUCACUCUGUCACCUGUCACCCCCUCACUCUGUCA